UAUCACUAGAUAUUUUCCCUCCGUCCUCCCCAGCCCUGGCGACGGUGCAUGCGUCCUCCCAGUCACCCGCUGCCGUGGAAUCAGGCGCCGCCAACCAUGGAGGCCAUGGGUUUCUCCUCCUCUAAGUCCCCACAUCGUCGACAGCAUGCCGCCGACUCAAUCCCCGUGAGUUCUGGUAGCUCCAGCCACCUCCAGUGUGGGGAUCCCAUCGGCACCGAGGCCCUCGAUUUCUAUGGGAGACGAAGCCGCGUCAUGCACGGAGGAUGCUAUCCACACUGGUGAAGCAUUGCGAUUCAUCUAUGGCGAUAAAUUUGGUAGACACCAAAAAUUGGGUGCUGUGUUGGCGCCUUGGUGGUCUGAUCACAUAUUGUGGAGAUUUGAGCGUGGAACAUAACCUUCAGUGUUUGACAUAUCCUGUGGGCGGUAUCACUUAUGAGCACCUCAACAGUUUAUUUAGCAAGCAAAGGAUCCAGGUUCACAUGUAGGGGAUGGCAAAUGCAAUCUAGCUGAUGGAGCGAGGAAGAUGAUGAAAACGGCUGCUGAAGUGACGAGGAGAUUGAGCUGGUGGUUUCCUGGAAGGAGUUGUUCCCUAGUACUCGACAUAAUGCCAGUAAACUAUGCUUUUGUCCCUCGUGUUUGGUUUUGUAAUAUUUCGAGUUUGUUUGAACUUUCCCAGACCUGUAGUUGUCUCCAUGAGUUGUUCAAAGUGAUAGCAGGUUUUUGCCCGGCUGUUCGAGAUCGAACACUCAGCGGGUUUCCUUCUACUGCUCCAACUCACUAUCUUCUUAUUUUUCUUUCUACCUUUAAUUGUUGUUUGUAAAAAGAUCCCGUUGUUUCCCUUGAGCAAUUAAUGGAAAAGGGGUUAG